AGAGUUUGAUCCUGGCUCAGGAUGAACGCUGGCGGCGCAUUUAAGACAUGCAAGUCGAACGGAGAUUAUUGAGUAGUUUAAUGAGAAGAAUUUUAGUGGCGGACGGGUGAGUAAUACGUAGGCAACCUGCCUCAAAGAGGGAAAUAACUAGAAGAAAUUUUAGCUAAUGUCCCAUAAGACUACACUAUGGCAUCAUAGAGCAGUCAAAGGAGUAAUCCGCUUUGAGAUGGGCCUACGGCUGAUUAGUUAGUUGGUGAGGUAAUGGCUCACCAAGACGAUGAUCAGUAGCCGGGCUGAGAGGCUGUACGGCCACAUUGGGACUGAGACACGGCCCAGACUCCUACGGGAGGCAGCAGUUGGGAAUAUUGGACAAUGGGGGAAACCCUGAUCCAGUGACGCCGCGUGAAGGAAGAAGGUCUUCGGAUUGUAAACUUAUUUUGUCAGGGAAGAAAAAAAUGACUGUACCUGAAGAAGAAGGACCGGCUAACUACGUGCCAGCAGCCGCGGUAAUACGUAGGGUCCAAGCGUUAUCCGGAUUUACUGGGUGUAAAGGGCGAGUAGACGGCGUGAUAAGUCAGAUGUGAAAUCUUAGGGCUCAACCUUAAGACUGCAUCUGAAACUGUCAUGCUAGAGUGCAGAAGAGGUAAGUGGAAUUCCUAGUGUAGCGGUGAAAUGCGUAGAUAUUAGGAGGAACACCAGUGGCGAAGGCGACUUACUGGGCUGUAACUGACGUUGAGGCGCGAAAGUGUGGGGAGCAAACAGGAUUAGAUACCCUGGUAGUCCACACCGUAAACGAUGGAUACUAGGUGUAGGUGCAAACGCAUCUGUGCCGGCGCAAACGCAAUAAGUAUCCCACCUGGGGAGUACGACCGCAAGGUUGAAACUCAAAGGAAUUGACGGGGGCCCGCACAAGCAGUGGAGUAUGUGGUUUAAUUCGACGCAACGCGAAGAACCUUACCAAGACUUGACAUCCAGAGAACUUUCCAGAGAUGGAUUGGUGCCUUCGGGAACUCUAGACAGGUGCUGCAUGGCUGUCGUCAGCUCGUGUUGUGAAAUGUUGGGUUAAGUCCCGUAACGAGCGCAACCCCUAUCCUUAUUUGCCAGCACUUGGGAACUCUAAGGAGACUGCCGGUGACAAACCGGAGGAAGGUGGGGAUGACGUCAAGUCAUCAUGGCCCUUACGAGUAGGGCUACACACGUGCUACAAUGGCCGGCACAGAGGGCUGCAAACUCGCGAGGGUAAGCUAAUCUCACAAAACCGGUCGUAGUCCGGAUUGGAGUCUGCAACUCGACUCCAUGAAGUCGGAAUCGCUAGUAAUCGUGAAUCAGAAUGUCACGGUGAAUACGUUCCCGGGCCUUGCACACACCCCCGUC
rnacentral:rRNA from 1 species